rnacentral:lncRNA from 1 species
GGCCGCCCGCGGCGCCGCCGCUGUCCCGGCGGGAGCCCUCGCCGGGCUCGGGAGUGCGGGGAGCGCGCAGGUAGAUGAAACUCAAGAGAAAAGGUGUGGAUAAAUGAAACUAGCCCAUGAUGAACCUGUUUUCUCCGUGACCACAAUAUUAACCAGGAUGAUGGCGGUGGCAGUGGGCCUGCAUCACAGGUUGCAGCAGAUGUUCUCAAUAUUUCUAUUAAAAUUUCCUUAUUUCCAUAUGCAAGAGGAGCCCCAGAGCUGCAUCCUUAUGGUAGCUACCAUGCCGUGAUGUAAGCUGCCAUUCACUGGGGAGCUUUGGCAAUAGAAUUGGCUAGAUCAGCAAGCCCAUGUCAACUAUGGAACAACAACUUGCAGCUCAUCUCUAUUGAUGAUACACUGCCUCUAGGACUGGGACAGAUAGCCACUGAGUACCUGCUUCAAAUCACCCUGCACGUUUUCUCUUUGGAAAGAUAAGCACUGGAGAACCAUCUCGUUACCUUCAGCAAAAAUGGAAACAAAUCAAGACAUUAAGAAUGCCACAGUGGACAGCAGUUAUGCAAGGUUCAGCAGAGGAAGUUUUCAAGAUGGUGUGCCUCACUAGCCAGAAAUCAGAAAAGAUCGAAGCUAGCCUUUUCAUCUCAGCUGCUCCUUAAAUCAGUGCAACCCCUCCAAAUUAAUGUGAAUUGAAACAUGCAUUGCUUUUCAACUUAAUUGAAUACUUACUAUAUGUGAACCACUGCACAAAAUAGGGGAAGAAGAUGUGGGAGACAAAGAUGUGGAGCCUGUCUUCAAUAAAUUUACAGUUAGUUUCAGGGUACAUUGUUUUUCUUCUGCUGUUAAUUAGGUGUAUCCCCAAGACAAUAAAUACAUGAAUGGAAAAGUAUAUUCUGUGUUUUAAGUCUCUUUAAUAAAAAACAAAACAAAAUCCAAAAAAACUCCUAACAUGGCAACUCA